rnacentral:rRNA from 1 species
GCUUAGCCUUAAACAUAAAUUCUUCAAUAACAAAAUUAUUCGCCAGAGUACUACUAGCAACUGCUUAAAACUCAAAGGACUUGGCGGUGCUUUACAUCCCUCUAGAGGAGCCUGUUCUAUAAUCGAUAAACCCCGAUAAACCUCACCACCCUUUGCAACUAUCAGCCUAUAUACCGCCAUCUUCAGCAAACCCUAACAAGGCACUAAAGUAAGCAUAAUAAUACUUACAUAAAAACGUUAGGUCAAGGUGUAGCCUAUAGGGUGGAAAGAAAUGGGCUACAUUUUCUAGUAUUCAUAGAACAACACAACGAUAACUUAUAUGAAACAUAUAAGUCCAAGGCGGAUUUAGUAGUAAGCCAAGAAUAGAGAGCUUGACUGAAUUGGGCAAUAAAGC